rnacentral:rRNA from 2 species
GGUUAAGCGACUAAGCGUACACGGUGGAUGCCCUGGCAGUCAGAGGCGAUGAAGGACGUGCUAAUCUGCGAUAAGCGUCGGUAAGGUGAUAUGAACCGUUAUAACCGGCGAUUUCCGAAUGGGGAAACCCAGUGUGAUUCGUCACACUAUCAUUAACUGAAUCCAUAGGUUAAUGAGGCGAACCGGGGGAACUGAAACAUCUAAGUACCCCGAGGAAAAGAAAUCAACCGAGAUUCCCCCAGUAGCGGCGAGCGAACGGGGAGCAGCCCAGAGCCUGAAUCAGUGUGUGUGUUAGUGGAAGCGUCUGGAAAGGCGUGCGAUACAGGGUGACAGCCCCGUACACAAAAAUGCACAUACUGUGAGCUCGAUGAGUAGGGCGGGACACGUGGUAUCCUGUCUGAAUAUGGGGGGACCAUCCUCCAAGGCUAAAUACUCCUGACUGACCGAUAGUGAACCAGUACCGUGAGGGAAAGGCGAAAAGAACCCCGGCGAGGGGAGUGAAAAAGAACCUGAAACCGUGUACGUACAAGCAGUGGGAGCACAGAGCAAUCUGUGUGACUGCGUACCUUUUGUAUAAUGGGUCAGCGACUUAUAUUCUGUAGCAAGGUUAACCGAAUAGGGGAGCCGAAGGGAAACCGAGUCUUAACUGGGCGUUAAGUUGCAGGGUAUAGACCCGAAACCCGGUGAUCUAGCCAUGGGCAGGUUGAAGGUUGGGUAACACUAACUGGAGGACCGAACCGACUAAUGUUGAAAAAUUAGCGGAUGACUUGUGGCUGGGGGUGAAAGGCCAAUCAAACCGGGAGAUAGCUGGUUCUCCCCGAAAGCUAUUUAGGUAGCGCCUCGUGAAUUCAUCUCCGGGGGUAGAGCACUGUUUCGGCAAGGGGGUCAUCCCGACUUACCAACCCGAUGCAAACUGCGAAUACCGGAGAAUGUUAUCACGGGAGACACACGGCGGGUGCUAACGUCCGUCGUGAAGAGGGAAACAACCCAGACCGCCAGCUAAGGUCCCAAAGUCAUGGUUAAGUGGGAAACGAUGUGGGAAGGCCCAGACAGCCAGGAUGUUGGCUUAGAAGCAGCCAUCAUUUAAAGAAAGCGUAAUAGCUCACUGGUCGAGUCGGCCUGCGCGGAAGAUGUAACGGGGCUAAACCAUGCACCGAAGCUGCGGCAGCGACGCUUAUGCGUUGUUGGGUAGGGGAGCGUUCUGUAAGCCUGCGAAGGUGUGCUGUGAGGCAUGCUGGAGGUAUCAGAAGUGCGAAUGCUGACAUAAGUAACGAUAAAGCGGGUGAAAAGCCCGCUCGCCGGAAGACCAAGGGUUCCUGUCCAACGUUAAUCGGGGCAGGGUGAGUCGACCCCUAAGGCGAGGCCGAAAGGCGUAGUCGAUGGGAAACAGGUUAAUAUUCCUGUACUUGGUGUUACUGCGAAGGGGGGACGGAGAAGGCUAUGUUGGCCGGGCGACGGUUGUCCCGGUUUAAGCGUGUAGGCUGGUUUUCCAGGCAAAUCCGGAAAAUCAAGGCUGAGGCGUGAUGACGAGGCACUACGGUGCUGAAGCAACAAAUGCCCUGCUUCCAGGAAAAGCCUCUAAGCAUCAGGUAACAUCAAAUCGUACCCCAAACCGACACAGGUGGUCAGGUAGAGAAUACCAAGGCGCUUGAGAGAACUCGGGUGAAGGAACUAGGCAAAAUGGUGCCGUAACUUCGGGAGAAGGCACGCUGAUAUGUAGGUGAAGUCCCUCGCGGAUGGAGCUGAAAUCAGUCGAAGAUACCAGCUGGCUGCAACUGUUUAUUAAAAACACAGCACUGUGCAAACACGAAAGUGGACGUAUACGGUGUGACGCCUGCCCGGUGCCGGAAGGUUAAUUGAUGGGGUUAGCGCAAGCGAAGCUCUUGAUCGAAGCCCCGGUAAACGGCGGCCGUAACUAUAACGGUCCUAAGGUAGCGAAAUUCCUUGUCGGGUAAGUUCCGACCUGCACGAAUGGCGUAAUGAUGGCCAGGCUGUCUCCACCCGAGACUCAGUGAAAUUGAACUCGCUGUGAAGAUGCAGUGUACCCGCGGCAAGACGGAAAGACCCCGUGAACCUUUACUAUAGCUUGACACUGAACAUUGAGCCUUGAUGUGUAGGAUAGGUGGGAGGCUUUGAAGUGUGGACGCCAGUCUGCAUGGAGCCGACCUUGAAAUACCACCCUUUAAUGUUUGAUGUUCUAACGUUGACCCGUAAUCCGGGUUGCGGACAGUGUCUGGUGGGUAGUUUGACUGGGGCGGUCUCCUCCUAAAGAGUAACGGAGGAGCACGAAGGUUGGCUAAUCCUGGUCGGACAUCAGGAGGUUAGUGCAAUGGCAUAAGCCAGCUUGACUGCGAGCGUGACGGCGCGAGCAGGUGCGAAAGCAGGUCAUAGUGAUCCGGUGGUUCUGAAUGGAAGGGCCAUCGCUCAACGGAUAAAAGGUACUCCGGGGAUAACAGGCUGAUACCGCCCAAGAGUUCAUAUCGACGGCGGUGUUUGGCACCUCGAUGUCGGCUCAUCACAUCCUGGGGCUGAAGUAGGUCCCAAGGGUAUGGCUGUUCGCCAUUUAAAGUGGUACGCGAGCUGGGUUUAGAACGUCGUGAGACAGUUCGGUCCCUAUCUGCCGUGGGCGCUGGAGAAUUGAGGGGGGCUGCUCCUAGUACGAGAGGACCGGAGUGGACGCAUCACUGGUGUUCGGGUUGUCAUGCCAAUGGCACUGCCCGGUAGCUAAAUGCGGAAGAGAUAAGUGCUGAAAGCAUCUAAGCACGAAACUUGCCCCGAGAUGAGUUCUCCCUGACUCCUUGAGAGUCCUGAAGGAACGUUGAAGACGACGACGUUGAUAGGCCGGGUGUGUAAGCGCAGCGAUGCGUUGAGCUAACCGGUACUAAUGAACCGUGAGGCUUAACCUU